rnacentral:rRNA from 1 species
ACGCUCGACACCUACGGGGGGCAGCAGUGGGGAAUAUUGCACAAUGGGGGAAACCCUGACGCAGCGACGCCGCGUGAAGGAAGAAGUAUCUCGGUAUGUAAACUUCUAUCAGCAGGGAAGAAAAUGACGGUACCUGACUAAGAAGCCCCGGCUAACUACGUGCCAGCAGCCGCGGUAAUCUGAGCGGGCUGGCAAGGC